UGGUUCUGGCAUCGAUGAAGAACGCAGCGAAAUGCGAUAAGUAGUGUGAAUUGCAGAAUUCAGUGAAUCAUCGAAUCUUUGAACGCACAUUGCGCCCCUUGGUAUUCCAUGGGGCAUGCCUGUUCGAGCGUCAUUUGUACCUUCAAGCUCUGCUUGGUGUUGGGUGUUUGUCUCGCCUUUGCGUGUAGACUCGCCUCAAAACGAUUGGCAGCCGGCGUAUUGAUUUCGGAGCGCAGUACAUCUCGCGCUUUGCACUCAUAACGACAGCGUCCAAAAAGUACAUUUUACACUCUUGACCUCGGAUCAGGUAGGGAUACCCGCUGA
rnacentral:misc_RNA from 1 species